GACGAACUGUGCAAACGUUAUUCGGAAUCACUGGGCUUGAAGAGUGCGUAGGCGGUUUCGUAAGUAGGGUGUGAAAGCCCCCAGCUCAACUGGGGAACUGCGUCCUAAACUGCGAGGCUGGAGUGAGGUAGGGGUGUGCGGAACUUCCGGUGGAGCGGUGAAAUGUGUUGAUAUCGGAAGGAACGCCGGUGGCGAAAGCGGCACACUGGACCUUGUCUGACGCUGAGGCACGAAAGCCAGGGGAGCAAACGGG
rnacentral:rRNA from 2 species